rnacentral:rRNA from 1 species
AACGAACGCUGGCGGCAUGCCUAACACAUGCAAGUCGAACGAGAACUUCGGGUCUAGUGGCGAACGGGUGCGUAACGCGUGGGAACCUGCCCUUAGGUUCGGAAUAACUCCCCGAAAGGGGUGCUAAUAACGGAUAAUGUCUUCGGACCAAAGAUUUAUCGCCUUUGGAUGGGCCCGCGUUGGAUUAGCGAGUGGGUAGGGUAAAAGCCUACCAAGGCGACGAUCCGUAGCUGGUCUGAGAGGAUGAUCAGCCACACUGGGACUGAGACACGGCCCAGACUCCUACGGGAGGCAGCAGAGGGGAAUAUAGGACAGUGGGCGAAAGCCUGAUCCAGCAAGGCCGCGUGAGUGAUGAAGGCGUUAGGGUUGUAAAGCGCUUUUACCCGGGAUGAUAAUGACAGUACCGGGAGAAUAAGCUCCGGCUAACUCCGUG